rnacentral:lncRNA from 1 species
GAGGAAGGCGACGAGAAGCUCGGCGGCCAUCGCCGCCAUUUUGGGCUGGGAGGAGGCAGCGGAGGGACUCGCUGCGCAAUGUUUUACAACUGGAUUACAAAAUAGGAUCAUCAUUGACUAGGGUCCUCAAUCCAAAACUGGAACCACUUACUCCUAACUGAAGCUUCAGUACACUUGAUGCCUACUGUGGUUUGAUUUUUUACCUACAUAUGACAUGUUCGCUCUACACUGAUCAAGAGAUGUGAGUUUAAAAAAGCUAACUAACUUGGUAGGACUUAAAUAGUCAUAGGAACAGAAAAGGCUUUUAAAGACGAUCUUUGUGGGUCUUCUGUCAAGAAUUUAAUGGAGGAUCCUAGACACUUGGGAUUCAUCCUCCAUUAUGAAGUAAUCUAGUGAAAUUUUUGGAUGCUACUGAGUGGCAAAUACUG